rnacentral:rRNA from 1 species
GAUCAUGGCUCAGGAUGAACGCUAGCUACAGGCUUAACACAUGCAAGUCGAGGGGCAGCAUUUUAGUUUGCUUGCAAACUGAAGAUGGCGACCGGCGCACGGGUGAGUAACACGUAUCCAACCUGCCGAUAACUCCGGGAUAGCCUUUCGAAAGAAAGAUUAAUACCGGAUAGCAUACGAAUAUCGCAUGAUAUUUUUAUAAAGGUAUUCCGGUAGACGAUGGGGAUGCGUUCCAUUAGA